rnacentral:rRNA from 1 species
GACGGAGGAGGCAAGCGUUAUCCGGAAUUAUUGGGCGUAAAGCGUCCGCAGGCGGCUUUUUAAGUCUGUUGUCAAAGCCCACAGCUCAACUGUGGAUCGGCAAUGGAAACUGCGACGCUGGAGUGUGGGAAAGGCAAGCGGAAUUCCUGGUGUAGCGGUGAAAUGCGUAGAUAUCAGGAGGAACACCGGCGGUGUAGACGGCUUGCUAGACCAUAACUGACGCUGAGGCACGAAAGCGUGGGUAGCAAACAGG